GUGAAAGUUUGCGGCUCAACCGUAAAAUUGCAGUUGAUACUGGCUGUCUUGAGUACAGUAGAGGUGGGCGGAAUUCGUGGUGUAGCGGUGAAAUGCUUAGAUAUCACGAAGAACUCCGAUUGCGAAGGCAGCUCACUGGACUGCAACUGACACUGAUGCUCGAAAGUGUGGGUAUCAAACAGGAUUAGAUACCCUGGUAGUCCACACAGUGAACGAUGAAUACUCGCUGUUUGCGAUAUACAGUAAGCGGCCAAGCGAAAGCAUUAAGUAUUCCACCUGGGGAGUACGCCGGCAACGGUGAAACUCAAAGGAAUUGACGGGGGCCCGCACAAGCGGAGGAACAUGUGGUUUAAUUCGAUGAUACGCGAGGAACCUUACCCGGGCUUAAAUUGCAUUUGAAUAUAUUGGAAACAGUAUAGUCGUAAGACAAAUGUGAAGGUGCUGCAUGGUUGUCGUCAGCUCGUGCCGUGAGGUGUCGGCUUAAGUGCCAUAACGAGCGCAACCCUUAUCUUUAGUUACUAACAGGUCAUGCUGAGGACUCUAGAGAGACUGCCGUCGUAAGAUGUGAGGAAGGUGGGGAUGACGUCAAAUCAGCACGGCCCUUACGUCCGGGGCUACACACGUGUUACAAUGGGGGGUACAGAAGGCAGCUACACAGCGAUGUGAUGCUAAUCCCAAAAGCCUCUCUCAGUUCGGAUUGGAGUCUGCAACCCGACUCCAUGAAGCUGGAUUCGCUAGUAAUCGCGCAUCAGCCACGGCGCGGUGAGUACGUUCCCGGGCCUUGUACACACCGCCCGUCAAGCCAUGAAAGCCGGGGGUACCUGAAGUCCGUAACCGCAAGGAGCGGCCUAGGGUAAAACUGGUAAUUGGGGCUA
rnacentral:rRNA from 1 species